rnacentral:rRNA from 1 species
CCUACGGGUGGCAGCAGUGGGGAAUGUUGCACAAUGGGGGAAACCCUGAUGCAGCGACGCCGCGUGAGUGAAGAAGUAUUUCGGUAUGUAAAGCUCUAUCAGCAGGGGAGAAAAUGACGGUACCUGAUUAAGAAGCCCCGGCUAACUACGUGCCAGCAGCCGCGGUAAUACGUAGGGGGCAAUCGUUAUCCGGAUUUACUGGGUGUAAAGGGGGCGUAGACGGGAGCACAAGUCUGGAGUGAAAUGCCGGGGCUGAACCCCGGAACUGCUGUGGAAACUGUGCAGCUAGAGUGCAGGGGAGGUAAGUGGAAUUCCUAGUGUAGCGGUGAAAUGCGUAGAUAUAUGGAAGAACCCCAGUGGCGAAAGCGGCUCUCUGGUCUGUAACUGACGCUGAGGUUCGAAAGCGUGGGUAGCAAACAGGAUUAGAUACCCGUGUAGUC